GCAGGAGUGGCGGAACUGGUAGACGCGCUGGAUUCAAAAUCCAGUGUUAGCAAUAACGUGGGGGUUCGAGUCCCCCCUCCUGUACCA
rnacentral:tRNA from 1 species